UGCCAGUUGAGAAUGUGUGGUUCCUGGUUCCUUGCCUGGCCUGCUUUCUUCCAAGCUUGCCUAGGGCCCAGCCUUACUAGAAGCUACAGUACUUUACAUGCAAAGUCUGCCUUCUUCCAGCCCCUGGGCUUUGGGAGGUCUACACAAGUGGGAACUUCCUUUCCCUCACUUCCUUUACCCCCUAGUCAGAGCAUUUCAGCCGUUUGCUACCUCGAUUCUUCCUAUAUUGGACAGAGGCUGGGGACAGCACCAGCCUGAUUCUUCCCACUUACCUGCCAUUUGUUCCCACUUUCAGAUGGACAGUUUGCUGGCUGUGAACUGGAAUGAGGACUGCAGCACAACUCAUAACAGCUCAGUCUUAAAAGCAAACCUAUAUGCACAUCAAGAGAUGAAUGGAUAAAGAAAUGAAGUACUACUCUGCUAUAUAGAGCUUUCCAUUCCAGAGGGGUCUUUGCCAUUCCACUGGGCAGGUGGAGAGCUCCCUGAGGAGAAGAUGGGACACAGUCCUCCCUGAGGUCUUCAGAAGGGGCUAGAGCCAACUACGGGUGAAUGGAGUGAAGGGGGAGAGAGAUGAAUGUUCAAGACAGAUUGCUUUGAUUUGAAAUGAAAACAAACAACUUCAGAAAAAAAAAAAAGGUUUUCAUUAUUUUGGAGACCUUGGCAUUCUUGCAGAUACAUUCAUGAAUUAAUCAUUAAAAUCCUGAAAUGUGGAAUAAAUCAUGUGGUUUUCAAUGCCAGCCCACAAUAAAGAGGACCUCAAAC
rnacentral:lncRNA from 1 species